CUCUACGGCCAUGCCACCCUGAACAAGCCCGAUCCCGUCUGAUCUCAGAAGCUAAGCAGGGUCGGGCCUGGCUAGUACUUGGAUGGGAGACCACCUAGGAAGACCAGGUGCUGUAGGCG
rnacentral:rRNA from 1 species